rnacentral:rRNA from 1 species
AAUUUUGGACAAUGGGCGCAAGCCUGAUCCAGCCAUGCCGCGUGAGUGAAGAAGGCCUUCGGGUUGUAAAGCUCUUUCGGACGGAAAGAAAUCGCGCAGGCUAAUACCCUGCGCGGAUGACGGUACCGUCAUAAGAAGCACCGGCUAACUACGUGCCAGCAGCCGCGGUAAUACGUAGGGUGCGAGCGUUAAUCGGAAUUACUGGGCGUAAAGCCUGCGCAGGCGGUUGAUUAAGACAGGCGUGGAAUCCCCGGGGUUAACCUGGGAACUGCGGUUGUGAAUGGUUAGCUUGAGUAAGGCAGAGGGGGGUGGAAUUCCACGUGGAGCAGUGAAAUGCGUAGAGGUGUGGAGGAACACCGAUUGCGAAGGCAGCCCCCUUGGGCGAUACUGACGGUCAUGCACGAAAACGUGGGUAGCAAACAGG